rnacentral:rRNA from 1 species
ACGCCGCGUGGGGGAUGAAGCUUCUCGGAGUGUAAACCCCUUUCGACUGGGACGAAUGCCUCGCAAGAGGAGUGACGGUACCAGUAGAAGAAGCCCCGGCUAACUACGUGCCAGCAGCCGCGGUAAGACGUAGGGGGCCAGCGUUGUUCGGAAUUACUGGGUGUAAAGGGUUCGUAGGCGGUGCGGCAAGUUGGGAGUGAAAUCUCUGGGCUUAACCCAGAGGCUGCUUCCAAAACUGCCGUGCUCGAGUGUGGGAGAGGCGCGUGGAAUUGCAGGUGUAGCGGUGAAAUGCGUAGAUAUCUGCAGGAACACCCGUGGCGAAAGCGGCGCGCUGGACCACAACUGACGCUGAGGAACGAAAGCUAGGGGAGCAGACAGGAUUAGAUACCCUGGUAGUCCUAGCCCUAAACGAUCACGACUUGGGGUGCCGCCCGUUCGGGCGUCGUCCCGGAGCUAACGCGUUAAGUCCUGCACCUGGGGAGUACGGUCGCAAGACUGAA